GGGCGGUAGCUCAGUGGCAGAGUGUCUGCUUUUGCGUGCAGAAGGUCCCAGGUUCAAUGGCAUCUCCAGGUAGGUCUG